GACAACAUGAAUUUUUUAUUGUGGAAAUGACUGAAAUGUUAAAACACCAAAAUGAUGGUUUUGUUUCUUACAAACACAGCAUUUGGCUUCUAAAGACAUUAACUGAUGGACUUGUUUUUAUCAGCUGUUUGGACUCUCAUUCUGACGGCACCCAUUCACUGCAGAACAUCUAUUUUUGGGCGCACUAUUCCUUUAAGCUUUGAAAAACUGCAAACACCUGAUACUUAAUCAAACAUUAGGUCUGACAUGCUGCUGUUUGCAUACACAGCAGAUAGUUAAUAUUUAGCAGGGUUUAAAUGUGCCGCCUGCCAUCAGUCGCUCACCUGUUUGAAGUGUUUUUGUAUUUCAUAGGACACCGGACAGGAGUAGCUCAGUGAUGUGGACUGAAUGAGUCUCGUGUCUUCCCUUAUCAGCAAACAUCGGACUGCUGUGCAUCCCUCCAGCUUCAUUUGUUGUAGUCAGUGAAGCAAACACACACACAUUCCCCUGACAGGGUCAAGAAAAGCAGAGCAGACAUCGUGUUUGUGGAGAGAUCAGAGGAUUGGCUGAGUGAUGAGGUCCUUCAUCACUACGAGAGAAACUAGGCUGUACAUCUCCAGGAUAAUAUUCUGUUUGUGUCACGUCGAGCAGAUGCAGAGGGACGUCUGGGGUCACGAGAGACACAUAACCGUCUGGCCAGGUGGGAAAGCGGAGAGGAAAGCCGAUGUAUGCUGGAGGAGUGAGAACGUACACACAUACUUAUAGAGUGACAUGAGUAAUCAACACAGAGGAAAGCUCAGAUUAAAUAUGACCUGAUCAAACCCCAUCAUAGUGGACGUAUUAAAUGACAAACUCACUGAGAGGCUGCACUCUUGCAUAAAAUGAUUAAGGCAUAUUCUAUAAUGUACUUCUACAGUAUGACAUUUUCUUCUAUUAUAGAUAUUUUUGUUUAAACUGCCUCCGAGGAAUGUGAUUUCAGUUUCAUUUUCAUGUAUUUAGUAGAUGUGUUUACUGAAGUGGUGCAGCAUAGUUUUUAGUUGUGUUUGCUAAAUAUAGAAUCAGUUAUUAUUGUUUAUAUUUAGGGUUAGUGAACUGAACAAACCUCUAAUGCUAUUAAACUUUAUUUUAACUAAUACAGUCACAAGGCUUUUUGCA